rnacentral:lncRNA from 1 species
GACAUAACAAGAUCUCAAAGACAAAGAAUAUAUUCAUCACAACAAGAUCUCAAAGACAAAGAAUAUAUUCAUCUCAAAGACAAAGAAUAUAUUCAAUCCGACAUCAAGUGAUCCAACUAUACUAACAAAGUCCGUGAUACAUCAAGAUCGUGCCAUCUCAAGAACAUGAGAGAGAGAGAGAGAUUGAACACAUAACUACAGGUACAUACCCUCAGCCCCGAGGGUGAACUACUCCCUCCUCGCCAUGCCCUCCGUCAGGAUGAUGAAGAUGGCCACCGGACAUGAUUUAUAUUUUCACGCAGGGUACUGGAAAGGCUCCAGAUGGGUUUUUUGUCGAUACACAGAGUUGUGGCGGUAGAGCAGAAGUUCUCUAUUUAUUUCCGAGGGUUUAUAUAUAUAUAUAUAUGCUUUUUUGGUAUUGGAAUCACGCUAAACGGAGCCACAUGGGCCCCACAAGCCAUCAAAGUGCGACUAAGGGGCUGACCGCGUCCUGUUG